rnacentral:rRNA from 1 species
GAUGAACGCUGGCGGCGUGCCUAAUACAUGCAAGUCGAGCGAACGGACGAGAAGCUUGCUUUUCUGAUGUUAGCGGCGGACGGGUGAGUAACACGUGGAUAACCUACCUAUAAGACUGGGAUAACUUCGGGAAACCGGAGCUAAUACCGGAUAAUAUUUUGAACCGCAUUGUUCAAAAGUGAAAGACGGUCUUGCUGUCACUUCUAGAUGGAUCCGCGCUGCAUUAGCUAGUUGGUAAGGUAACGGCUUACCAAGGCAACGAUGCAUAGCCGACCUGAGAGAGUGAUCGGCCACACGGGAACUUAGACACGGUCCAGACUCCUACGGGAGGCAGCAGUAGGGAAUCUUCCGCAAUAGGCGAGAGCCUUGCGGAGCAACGCCGCGUGAGUGAUGAAGGUCUUCGGAUCGUAAAACUCUGUUAUUAGGGAAGAACAUAUGUGUAAGUAACUGUGCACAUCUUGACGGUACCUAAUCAGAAAGCCACGGCUAACUACGUG